GUUUGGAAUUGAAAUUAUCUGAAACUUAACACAUUCUUCCUGUAUAAUUUCUUUCAAGGUACAAGGUCAUCCUGACAUGAACAACCUACCUUACAAGAGAAGAAUUUAAAGAGGCUAUUUGCAUAUUUUUCUGACUUCCCCCUGAGCUAGAGGAUCUCAGCUUCCAGUCAUUCGGAAGAGCAAUACAGUUGGAAUUGGUUAUCUACAGAGCUGCACAAAGAAGUUUUUCAGAUAUAAAGUAAG
rnacentral:lncRNA from 11 species